CAGUCGCCACGGGAAUACGUAGGUGGCAAGCGUUGUCCGGAAUUAUUGGGCGUAAAGGGCUCGCAGGCGGUUUCUUAAGUCUGAUGUGAAAGCCCCCGGCUCAACCGGGGAGGGUCAUUGGAAACUGGGAAACUCGAGUGCAGAAGAGGAGAGUGGAAUUCCACGUGUAGCGGUGAAAUGCGUAGAGAUGUGGAGGAACACCAGUGGCGAAGGCGACUCUCUGGUCUGUAACUGACGCUGAGGAGCGAAAGCGUGGGGAGCGAACAGGAUUAGAUACCCCAGUAGUCCCUGUCUCUUAUAC
rnacentral:rRNA from 1 species